CGCUAUGCAUGCAGUCGAGCGAGGCUCCACCCUUCGGGGAGGAUGUCCUAGCGGCAAACGGCCGAGUAACGCGUGGGUGAUCUACCCCAGAGAGGGGAAUAACCCGCCGAAAGGCGGACUAAUUCCGCAUACGCUCCACCGUGUAAAGGCGGUGGUGGAAAGGGUUCCGGGCAACCGGCGCCGCUCUGGGAGGAGCUCGCGUCCUAUCAGGUUGUUGGUGGGGUAACGGCCUACCAAAUGCCAAAGACGGGUAGCUGGUGUGAGAGCACGACCAGCCAGAGGGGGACUGAGACACGGCCCCCACUCCUACGGGAGGCAGCAGCAGGGAAUCUUGCACAAUGGGCGAAAGCCUGAUGCAGCGACGCCGCGUGAGGGACGAAGGCUCUAGGGUUGUAAACCUCUUUUCUCAGGGAAGAGCAAGGACGGUACCUGAGGAAUAAGCCACGGCUAACUACGUGCCAGCAGCCGCGGUAAUACGUAGGUGGCGAGCGUUGUCCGGAAUUAUUGGGCGUAAAGGGUCCGUAGGCUGUUUUGUAAGUCUCCUGUGAAAACUCCAGGCUCAACUUGGAGCGGUCGGGGGAUACUGCAGGACUUGAGGCUGUCAGAGGAAAGCGGAAUUCCCGGUGUAGUGGUGAAAUGCGUAGAUAUCGGGAGGAGCAUCAGUGGCGAAAGCGGCUUUCUGGGACAGUUCUGACGCUGAGGGACGAAAGCGUGGGGAGCAAACCGGAUUAGAUACCCGGGUAGUCCACGCCCUAAACGAUGGAUGCUAGGUUUGUGGGGUAUCGACCCCCUGCGAGCCAAAGCUAACGCGAUAAGCAUCCCGCCUGGGGACUACGGCCGCAAGGCUAAAACUCAAAGGAAUUGACGGGGGCCCGCACAAGCAGCGGAGCGUGU
rnacentral:rRNA from 1 species